UGUUAAAAACUUUAUCUAUUUCUAUUGUUAAAAACUGGUGUAGUUGAUAGAAUAACUAGACAAUUACACAUGAUGUGUCACGUGUACCUCAUGUUGACUUACAUGGACCCAUGUUUAACAAUAGAAUUGGAUGGAAUUCUUAACA
rfam:Gossypium arboreum cultivar AKA8401 contig_36720_3, whole genome shotgun sequence.